AAGCAAAUGAGAAAAAAUAUGGCUCAAACUCUUCAGUUUGUUUAUGCUUUCAUAAUCUUUCUUUUUAUAUUUCUUCUUGCAGUCAAUGGGGCUAUACCUUGUGUUACUGACGAUGAUUGUCCAAAGGAGAUCCCCCCUGAAUAUUAUUAUAAGUGCAUGAAUAAGAUUUGUAUACUUAUUAAUUUAAUGUAAUAUUGAUCAAUUGAAAAAUAACCGAAAUUUAUAUGCCGAAAACCAUAGUUAUGUGUUCUUUCA